rnacentral:lncRNA from 1 species
UCUUAUAUUUAGGAACAGAGGGAGUAAAUGACAAGUGAUAAUUGGUCGCAUUAAUAUUCCCAUAUACCUGGACUGGUGGUCAGAAGAAAAGAAUAUUUUAAGACCACGUCAAAUGUAGAUGUACAUUCAUCACAAAAAGUAAAUGUAGAGGUACAUACAAAUUAAAACAGAAAAUGUCCGAAAUUAACUUCAUCAGAACCUUGAGGCUGAGAAUCAUCUCCACAAAAUGGAAACUUGCAUAAUGAGUGACUCUGUGGAUUCAAUACCCAAGAAGACAUAAAGAAACACAAAAAUAAACACACUUUUUCUCUAUUUGAUAUGAAGAAUUAUGCGUGAAAAUUCACAUGCUUCUAGAAAACUGCACCAGAGAACAUACCAGCAAUGGAACCAUCCAC